AGGCCUUUGCACCAUGAAGCUUCUUAUCCUGACCUGCCUCGUGGCCGUUGCUCUUGCCAGGCCUAAAUUUCAUUUUAGACAUGCUGAAGCUCAAAAUCAGGAAGACAGCAAUGAG